CAUCAGCUCCGCCCACUCAGUGACGACUCGCCUCCGAAUCGGCAGCGUGCUAGACACACUGGGCGGGACCACAAUGUUUGACUGACAUUAUACUUUAGCCAAUUAAUGCAAAGCAUUCUUCUCUUUCCUUUUUUUCGCAUUUCUUUCAUCAUGGGGGCACGGCCAUAGGAGAGGAGACGCGCGUAUAUUUUUUGAAUGACAGCAUCUUUAACGAAUUGCUGCUCUUUUUUUAGUUUGUAUGGGCGGGCUUUCUUUAGCUUCACUGGAGCGGUUAGAGGAUUUUAAAAACGGAAGAUGCUAUUGGUGGAGCACAGUGUGCGAAAUUUAAACCCCUCGCAUUUUAUUAGUGGAAAAAAAGGAGAACGUGAGAUUAGGCAGGGAAUUCCAGGCAUGUUGUGGGAGGUUUACAAAGUGUGAAGAGGCGUCCAGGGAUCCCUCUUCGUCCUGGCUUUUCAAAUAGUUCAUUAGGGACUUCCGUGUCGGCUUUGCAAUCGGAAUUAUACUUUUCAGGAUUUUGUCUUCGGCCUAGCGAUUCGAAUCGGCGAGAUCCUGGAUGGGAACUUCAGCUCUGCCUGCUUCUCCUUGAUUUUGUGCUUACAGCCUGGAAUUCUUGACCAGCACCAACACCGAGGAAUCGGACCAGAGUGACCAGGGAGCUUCUCCAUACGGCGAUCCGGGCUUCUCUGCGCCCCACUGUGAAUGUGUUUGUUGCCAUGGAGGAGAAUCCUAAAAGUGACAGCAUGAAUUUUCGCUCCGGAUGCAGACUGAUCUUGAACACGGCUUUGGAAAAGGAAUCGUCGUUCUGCGGUGUGGAUGUGGCAGCGUCUCCCAUCACCGACCUGGCCAGCAAGUUGAACAGCCUGAGCGCCUUUGCUGAAGGCGACACACCAAAGCGCCGUCUGGACCUCUCCAAUCUCAGUCAAAAU